GAUUAACAUCUUGUUUAAUGUUAUCUACAUAAGAUAUGUUUAAUGUGAUUAGGAAUAUCAAAUCUCUAUAUAAGAAGAUGCUGAGUUGUAGCAUAAACUUAUGAGUUUACAGAUCGAUUGUGAUUGCUUAAGGUUUUGAGAUUAUUUUCCUUAGGAUUUAUAAAGAGAGGAAUUCUUUAUAUUGUUACACAAUCUUUGAGUUCAAUAAUUAGUAUCAAAACCAGGUUGACGAAAAAUCUGCAAAACAAAACCUAAAUACCAUUCGAGAUAUGAAUGGGAAGUAUGUGGUAGAGAUCAAAUCAGAAGAUCUUGGAAGUUCAGUUGUGAGAAAUGAGUGUGGUCUUUAGUUUGAAGGGGAAAUGUGAGAUAUCCAACUAAGUACUACAUUGAAAAAUUAGACAAAAAGUGUCUAAUGUUAUAAGAUAAACUUUGAAAUGAUCCUCCACUCCUUUACCAACU
rnacentral:lncRNA from 1 species